UACAGAGGUCCCGAGCGUUGUUCGGAUUUAUUGGGCGUAAAGGGUGCGUAGGCGGCGGAGUAAGUUGGGUGUGAAAUCCCGGGGCUUAACCUCGGAAUGGCAUUCAAUACUGCUUCGCUCGAGUACUGGAGAGGAGGCUGGAAUUUACGGUGUAGAGGUGAAAUUCGUAGAUAUUCGCAAGAACACCAGUGGCGAAGGCGGCUCACUGGCCCAUUACUGACGCUGAGGCACGAAAGCGUGGGGAGCAAACAGG
rnacentral:rRNA from 1 species